rnacentral:rRNA from 1 species
GAGGUGGAAGUGUGGUAACACAUGGAGCUGACUGUUACUAAUAGGUCGAGGGCAUAACCAAG